CCAUGCAACCGUGCUAUCCUGAACACGGCCAACUUGAUCUGGUUUUGGAAGCUAAGCAGGGUUGCAGCUGGUUAGUUCUUGGAGGGGAAACCACCAGAGAUUCUCCAGGUAGGGCUGGU
rnacentral:rRNA from 1 species